GCUCUGGAUGCUCUGGGCUGAGCACCACUGUCCCUUGUGCACGGGGAGGAGGAAUAAGGAGACUUUAGGAAACGGCUUUGCGGUGCCUGCAGCAGCCAGCACACCAGGAGGGGAGAAUUUAGCCUAAAGCCUGUGCAAAUGCUCUGUGCUUAUUGCAGGUUUCCUUCCUCCUGCUUCUUCAGAUCCCCAGGGAACCACGCAAAGCCGGAGCUCCUGCUCCAGCUGCGGCUGUGCCGGGGGCUGAAGGGGGGCAGGAGGACCCUCAGCUGAGGUUGCACUGCUUUCUGUGUCUGCACCCCGUGGGGUGGGACCCCCACGUUCCAUCCCGACUCCAUUACCCGCACCCCCAGCACACCCAGGUGCUGAUUUGCUCCCCUCUGCCCAUGUCCCCCCCGGCAGUUCUGGGCAGUGCCAGGAAGCGAAACCCAACUGUUUGUGCAGAGCAAAUCCCACAGCAGACAUUCCUCCUCUGAUUGAAACCAGACCUCACGCGAUGCUGCCGGAGCUGCUGGCGGGGGCGCGUUAACCAGAGCAGAGCAUGCGCUCCCAAAAGGGGAUUGGGGUCUCUCUGCUUGGGGACAUGGGUUGGCCAAGUGGGUCAGGGUCCAAGUGAUGGGAUGAAGAUGUGUGGGGUGGAGGUGUAUGGGGUGAACAUGUAUGGGAUGGAGCUAUAUGGGAUGGAGGUGUAUGGGAUGGAGGUGAAUGGGAUGGAGGUGUAUGGGGUGAAGAUGUGCAGACCCAACCGGCAGCAGCCACAAGCAUAGAGGAGAGAGGAGGAUGAGGCAGGGAAACCCCCAUGGCCUUCUCAAACGCUGUGUCAUCUCCUCCCCGAAGCCAAACAAAAAAAUCGCUACCAGCCCACACAACCUAAAAUUCCAGCAUUAGGAAAUCCAGGGGAAAAGCAGGAAGCGGAGGUGCAGACAGGGCUGGGUGCUGCCGUGCUGCAGGCGGGGCCUGAAGCUCCGGGGCAGCGCUGGGAACCGCUUCCCAACCCGGUCCCAUAGCGGGAGCUCACCCAGACACCCCAACUCCACCCCGAGGCUUCGGGGAACUGGAAUGGUGAUGCAAGGUGGGAUGAAGCAACAGCGCUGGGAGGAAGCAGGGGAUGGGAUGUGGCGUGGCUGAGCUUUGCUCCUCGCCAUCCCGAUCCCAGCAGGAGCCGGCUGAGCAUCGUCCCCAUGUCACAGCCAGACAGUGAGUGGGGAUGACAGGGUUAUAGGAAACAAGGUGACACUUCCAAACACAUUCUCUUUGCUGCUCUUUUCCUUUCCUG
ensembl:lncRNA